rnacentral:rRNA from 1 species
GAUGAACGCUGGCGGCGUGCCUAAUACAUGCAAGUAGAACGCUGAAGCUUGGUGCUUGCACCGAGCGGAAGAGUUGCGAACGGGUGAGUAACGCGUAGGUAACCUGCCUCUUAGCGGGGGAUAACUAUUGGAAACGAUAGCUAAUACCGCAUAAAAGUCGGCAUUGCAUGAUGUUGACUUGAAAGGUGCAACUGCAUCACUAAGAGAUGGACCUGCGUUGUAUUAGCUAGUUGGUGAGGUAACGGCUCACCAAGGCGACGAUACAUAGCCGACCUGAGAGGGUGAUCGGCCACACUGGGACUGAGACACGGCCCAGACUCCUACGGGAGGCAGCAGUAGGGAAUCUUCGGCAAUGGACGGAAGUCUGACCGAGCAACGCCGCGUGAGUGAAGAAGGUUUUCGGAUCGUAAAGCUCUGUUGUAAGAGAAGAACGAGUGUGAGAGUGGAAAGUUCACACUGUGACGGUAACUUACCAGAAAGGGACGGCUAACUACGUGCCAGCAGCCGCGGUAAUACGUAGGUCCCGAGCGUUAUCCGGAUUUAUUGGGCGUAAAGCGAGCGCAGGCGGUUAGAUAAGUCUGAAGUUAAAGGCUGUGGCUUAACCAUAGUACGCUUUGGAAACUGUUUAACUUGAGUGCAGAAGGGGAGAGUGGAAUUCCAUGUGUAGCGGUGAAAUGCGUAGAUAUAUGGAGGAACACCGGUGGCGAAGGCGGCUCUCUGGUCUGUAACUGACGCUGAGGCUCGAAAGCGUGGGGAGCAAACAGG